rnacentral:lncRNA from 1 species
GUUUGAAAUCAUGUGACUGGACAUAAAUUUAUUAGUCCAACAGUGUCUUCAUGGUUUGAAUUUGUUAAAUAUGACAGGUAUAUAUGUGGUAUUAUUAUUCUCAUCUCAUCAAGAAUAUAUAGAGUCAGAGUUUGAUUGAAAUCGUAGAUUUAUAUUAAUAUAUUUACUUAAUAGUAUGAAUAAAUAAUAUAUUUAGAACCCAUAAGUAGUCUUUUUAAAAUUAAUCCAAAAU